UACGAAGGGUGCAAGCGUUACUCGGAAUUACUGGGCGUAAAGCGUGCGCAGGCGGUUUUGUAAGCCAGAUGUGAAAUCCCCGGGCUCAACCUGGGAAUGGCAUUUGGGACUGCAAGGCUCGAGUGCGGCAGAGGAGACUGGAAUUCCUGGUGUAGCAGUGAAAUGCGUAGAUAUCAGGAGGAACACCGAUGGCGAAGGCAGGUCUCUGGGCUGACACUGAGACGCGAAAGCCAGGGGAGCGAACGGG
rnacentral:rRNA from 1 species